rnacentral:lncRNA from 1 species
GGGUCACUGACAAUAUUCAUCCUUGGGAAAUUUUGCAAAAACACUGACCUUAGCCACUCAAACACUCUUUGCAAGGAAUUUGGCUUGGAAACAGUCUGACAAGAUUUACUUACCAAAGAGGGAGAAGCAGGCUCCCCACCAAGCAGGAAGCCCCAUGCAGGACUCAAUCCCAAGACCCUGCAAUCAUGACCUGGGCUGAAGGCAGACGCUUAACCGACAGAGCCACCCAGGCACCCCACUACUAGGAAAUUUUAAAGGACACCCUGACUGCUUGCAGUUUCUGUUUGACAGCCCUGGGCAAAGGGGCAACCUAACUGGUGUCCUUAAGGCGGAGAGAGGGUUCUCCAGUGCUUUCCAGGGAAGCCUGUUUUCUUUAAUGCAGUUACCUGGACCCACCGGGAGAUUCUGAUUCAGGAAACCAAGUUCCUGCCAAAAGCAGUUACGUUGCAGUAUGUCUGUGUUCCCCUAGAACCAAAAGCAGCUAAUUGUUGAUUAAACAUAAGCCAUACGCGGCUUCAGAAAACUC